rnacentral:rRNA from 1 species
UACGAAGGGGGGCUAGCGUUGCUCGGAAUGACUGGGCGUAAAGGGCGCGUAGGCGGUUCAUACAGUCAGAUGUGAAAUUCCUGGGCUCAACCUGGGGGCUGCAUUUGAUACGUGUGGACUAGAGUGGGGAAGAGGGUCGUGGAAUUCCCAGUGUAGAGGUGAAAUUCGUAGAUAUUCGGAAGAACACCAGUGGCGAAGGCGACUUACUGGACACAUAUUGACGCUGAGGUGCGAAAAGCGUGGGGAGCAAACAGG